rnacentral:lncRNA from 1 species
AUCUCAAAACAUAAAGAUGCAGCAGAAAGACCUGGCUUCCAGUACCAGUUGUGCUCUCACUCACUGUAUGAUGUUGGGUAAUUUAUGUAUCUUCUCUGAUCCUCAGUUUUCUCAUCUAUAAAAUGGGUAAAAUAUUAAAACUACAGAGUGUGAGAAGGGGCAUAACACUGUAAAACUCCUGGCACUGUGCCUAACACAUAGGAAGUUUCAAUAAGUAUUCAUUAUGAAAAGAGACCAUGAAGGUCUGUAUUUUUCCUAAGGAAAGUUGCCUCACUGGAAAUCUUCUAGAGUUUUGUUUCCUCGAAAUGUGUACUGUAAAUUUGGGAGACCAUGCUGUGCACCAUCUUAAAGUGAAACUUUAAAAAAAAAAUCCUAGCGUAAUAAAGAACAAAGGCUAUAGCAAUUCUAAGAACUCUCAAAGAAAGAUGCACAGAAUUCCGAACGCACAUGACUAAGCAUCUCUAACCAUGAUCUAUAAAGCUGUUAAUAGCUGGAUAUUCAAAGGGAGCCCACGUGGCUCUACAUAACCCAUGUGCGUAAGGCCUAAAAUUAAUAUUAUGUGUUGCUUCGACAUCUGGUAAAACCGAGAGGGCCUCAAAUGGCCUCACUGCAAGUUCCCUGCCACGCUCUGCUCCUGCAGGUAGUGAAGCACCACAGGAAAUAAUCUCCAGGGAUGGAGUGAACAAAUCUAAUCUAAACUGUCUGAAGGCACCGUUUCAUUGCAGUAUCAACCCUUCCUUUGCCAAAAUCUUCAGAACAGUUGGCUAUAUACCAUAACGCACUGAGGGUUUGGAGGAGGGGAGAGUAAUUAAGGAAGAGCUAGGUAAUUAAGGAAGAGCUGUGCCACAAGACAAUGACACAUAAACGGAUGGUGAGUCGAUCUGCAACGUGAACUAAUUCAGCAGCAAAUGAUUAUGCCAGAAGGGACUGUGAAAAUGCAAACCUCCAUGGGAACUGGCAGAAAUUCUGUGGAAAGCUUUGGACUUCUGAAGGUCAAAUAUUGAAGUGCUGAACAUUCAGGGUUCCAGAAUCAUCUCAGACUAUUUGGCAGACUGCAGCUGUGACCCAGUGGUACUUCAUAGACUACCUACGAGGAUACAAAAUGGCAACAGUGAAAAUGCAUACAAUAAUGACUCAAUAUUAAAUUUUCUGGAAAUUAAGUCACUCGGUAACCUGGAUGGCCAACACGACUUUUGUGACUUACUGAGGAAAGGAAGCAUCAGCCACAGCAGCAAUGAUGCUCUAACAGCCUCUGAAGCUGGCCCAGAGGCUGCACUGAUAUCCAGUGUUCUGGUCCCAAAGGACUGUGAUAAGCAUCCCAAGGCCGAGGGCACCAAGCCCACCAGCCUGGAGGAACAAGCUGCCCAGCCACAGUGGCUCUUUUUCAUUUUCCAGAUUCCUUCCCCAUCUCGAGCUCUUCUUCUUUUUUGCUUCUCUUGGGGAGUUAGGAAAUCACUGGCUAGAAACCCUAGAGCACUUGGUAACAUUUCCUGAGUUAUUUCUGUCUCUCAUAAUUAAGUAUCAUUUGGAUUUAAAACUGAAUUGAUGAAGCGUCUUGCUGUACUCAAAAAUAAAGACUUUCAUUUGACUUUAUUUUAAAAUCUAUUUAGCACAUCCAUCCGUCCAUCCAUCUUCUUUUCUUUUUGCAAUCUUUAAUGUUGAUAUUCACGCUACACGGCAUGCAGAACAAUCUUAGUGUCUCAAAUGAAAUACCCACCCCUUGGUCAGAAAGUGCCUGAGUGAUAAGGAGACCUUGUGCAGAAACAAAAUUUGAGACCACUACAGUAAUGAGAAGCUAAAAAUUCAGACAGAGUCCUUUUUUUCUCAAUGUUCUUCCACUGUGAGUAGAAAUGUUAUAUGAGCCACAAAAUGUGCAGGUGUCAAGCACAAAAAUGAACAUUAAUAUUGCACUUUAAAAUACACAACAGUUAAUGUAGUUCUAUUACAUUGUGCAGUAAUUAGCACAGUGAUUAGGAGAAUGCAGUGAGGGUGCAGGGCAUUGGCUGUAAGAAGCACUCACAGGGCACCAAACUGUCAGGACAGAAUGUCUUGAGAGCGGCUGGUGUUCCUCCGAGAUAUGGGGGGGCCGGGAUCCCAGGGCCUGUUGGCAGCUCAGAUAAGACACAUCCACCACCUGGGGGGUGUGGAAGGUCCCAGGGAAGGGAGCCGCUCUUAGAUACCAAGGUUGGGAGGAUGGUUCUGGGCAUCAGUUUUACCUUUAAACAGUGCCCACCCUCUCAGUCCCUACUUAACUAAGUGCUGAUGCCAAAUCCAGGCAAUCCAGGAUGAAUUUUUCAGAAAAGCUUAUGGCAAAGGAGGCAGCGUAACUGUGGUGCGUUCCUUUUAACCCUUCCCUCAAGCAGAGGGAGCAAGAGGAGGAAGGGUAAUAACAACAACGAAAAUACUUUUACCACUGACCACACAACUACUGCGCAUCAGAUACUGUGCUAGGUAUUAUCCACAUGCUACUUCUAACCUUAGCUGAGACAAAGACAUGAAGAGCAUGAAAAAUCAAUCAACUGCCCAAGCCUCGCAUCUAGAAAGUGGCAGAGCCAGAUUUCAAACCAGAAGUGUCCACUUCCCUGGAUCUCUCCCAUACCUGACCACUUCAGUCUGGGUCUAAUAUUGCAAAUGAAGGAAAAACAUCCUGGCUCAACAGUCUCUCCUCCAUCGUCCCUGAGAUUUCAGUUAGAGAGGAAUAUGUUUAACAAGUUAAAUGCUCUAGCUACAGCUAAAAGAUUUGGUAUCUGGUACAGACCAGCUUGGCUGGCCAUGUGACCUCCCUGCUUGCUCAUUUCUCUUGUCUGGAGGGGCAAAUCCCCGAAAGACUCGGUUCUCCCGGUGGUCGAGGGAUUCUCUGGGCGGAGCUCUGAAGUGUGCACCAGCAUGUUUCAAAUCGAAAGGUUCAAAGGCCUCCUGCAGCUUUGGAGGAACCAUGCAGGAACCAAGCCCCACUUCUAACCAGCAAUGCAGUAAUUAUAGAAACAUCUACCAUAUAGAAAUUCUCAAGUCAUUUUUAUUUAUGACAGGUGUCACUGUCUGUAUAAUGGUUGCUAAAAAAAGAUGUUUCAAGUUGGAGUUCAGAGUUCCUGGACAAAUGAUCCCAUCUGUAACUAACUGCAUGUGUGAGAGAGGGGAAAAAAGCAUACAUCUCACUAGUUAUUAAAAAAUAAUUGUUAUUGGCUGGGCAUAGUGG